UACGGAGGGGGCUAGCGUUGUUCGGAAUUACUGGGCGUAAAGCGCGUGUAGGCGGGUCGGUAUGUCGGACGUGAAAUCCCUAGGCUCAACCUAGGAACUGCGCUCGAAACUGCCGGUCUUGAGUGGUGGAGAGGGAAGUGGAAUUCCUGGUGUAGAGGUGAAAUUCGUAGAUAUCAGGAGGAACACCAGUGGCGAAGGCGGCUUCCUGGACACCAACUGACGCUGAGACGCGAAAGCGUGGGGAGCAAACAGG
rnacentral:rRNA from 1 species